rnacentral:sRNA from 1 species
CAACAAGCGAAAGGAGGUGGUCGAAUGUCUCAUUGUCACACGCCGCAUGCGGCAGAAUUGAGCGCGACCUUCCCCGCGGGGGUCCAGCUCGGCUAAGCUGUCCGCGACAGGCAAGACAAUGGAAGGGCUGCUCCGGACGGAGCAGCCCU